ACUAGCCAGUGUGCUACAAGAGUACAAUGAACAAAGGAAAACACACGAAUGUAUUCCUUACGCAUUUGGGGUCGUCCUGACUGCUGUGUCUAAUCUCCGUUGGCUGGAGCCAGACCUCACAAUCUAAACUAACACCCGAUUGGCUAACAACUUAAAACUUUUCUAAGCAGGUGGAAGCAAUGGAGAGCUGGGACAUGGCUGUGAGCACGUCCAGCACAGAUAUCUUGGUUAAAGUACAAGGACUUAGACUGUACUAUGUGCCUGUAAGCAUGGCAUGCCUAACAGCUACAUAGGUUAGGGCUUAACAAAGUUAUUAGCACACUUAUUCUUUAACAAGAAAGGAAACUUUAAAAAGGAACUUUUCUACUUCCCACACCCUCAUCACCACCUGAAGGCUUUUACUGCUCCCCCUGCUGCCCCUCCCCCUUGAUCUUUCCCAGGAAUCACCUUCGAUCAAUCUGCACUUCCAACUCCGUGUUGGUGCCUGCUUUCCAGCUGAGCCAAACUGUGGGCUGGUGGUGACCUAGCUAGACUGCGGGGGCAGCGACUCCUGGCCAGGGCUGAGAGGACACAGCCUGUGAAGGGGACAGGGAGCGGGCUCACCUUCAAAGCCAGAUGGCUCAUAAACCCCAGUGGCUUGGCUGGAUGUGGCUGAUUCAGGUCGGGGAUCCCCGCUGGGGGGCCAGGCAGCAGAUCCCUCUCUCAUUCUGGACAAGAACUUGGGCAAAGAUGCCACAGCCACAGAGGUUUCCUGCCAGAAAAAUCAACACCCCAGAGAUCCUGUAACAUUAAUGUAUCUUCAAAGGCAGCAGCUGUAAAAUCUGAAGGAAAGAAAACCACUUCCUGGGAAUGUUGUACUAAGGACUGACAGAAACAAGCUGGAAAGCCUUGCUUCUCAAAUGUCACCAUGCAUGUGAGUCAACGGGGAUCUUGUUAAAAUGCAGAUUCUGACUCAACAGGUCUUAGGUGAAGCCUGAGAUUCGGCAUUUCUAAUGAGCUCCCAGGUGAUGUCGAUGCUGCUGUCGGUGAAUCUCAAUUUUAGCAACAAAGAAUGUGGAAGAUCGUAGCAGGAACUUGGUUCAUACGAGGUACUCAACAGGCAGUGUCUUUGGUUAUCACUAUUACCAUGGUCAUCAGGCAACAUCGGUGAGACUGUCUCUUUCCUGACCACAGCCCAUAUCCUCCUUCAAAACUGUGUCAUUUGAGGUUUCCCUUAAAGCCACCAGAACACAAAUAUUGGAGAGGCCCAAAGUGGAGGCCAUCACAGAUGACCCAGUGGCCAAACUGUCCAUUGGACAUCUCUAGAAGCAGACACUGUUCUCGCUGACCCAGGGUCCAGUGGGCCCAGUUGUUUGGGCUUUCAUGUGGGAAGCUGGGAUGGCAGUGGUGUUGCCCAGCCACUUCUCCGCUUCAUCAAUCACAACUGCCUGAAGGUACAACAGAGGUCACUAGAGUCCCCUAUCCCUCAUCCUAAAAGAAGCCACUUGCUCUCCUAUUUUCUCAUGGGAGGGAGCUCUAAGGGAUCGGGAGCAAGCUCCUCCAGUAGCAGUGGAAGCAGCAUGGCUCAUGGUUGCCAUCUUGGGACCUUGGACAACUCGUAAACUUUUUCAGGGCCUCAGUUUCCUCAUCUGUAAAGUGGGGCAACACUUUACCACCCUAGCGUUGUGAGCAUGAAAUGCGAUAAUGGACAUAAAAUCCUUCUCACACUGUGUGUGCCAACUGUGCAUUAUUUUAUGAUUAUUAGUGUGUCUCCACACUGUGUCUCCUGCCUCCUCAUCACCUAGCCACAAAAGCUGGUGCUACAGCCACCUGAGCUGUAAUGGAAUGGCAUGUUUGAGCUGGUCCUAUGCUGACUUGGAGCUGAGAGCUUCAUGUGGUUUGGGGUCAAGUUAAGUGUAUCGGAAAUAUGAAGCCAGAGGAACCAGAGCUGUGGCUCAUGAGAAGGGUGAGCCCCUUCUGAGAACCUGUGGGGAAUGGAGGGGAAAAGAGGAAGGGGACAAGGAGAAACGGCAAAUGUGGUUCCAUCUUCUGCUGCAGGCUGACCUGUCCAUGGGUAUGGAGUGUCUGGGGAGGGCCCAGCGUGCUGGGUAAGGCUGCAGGGUGUGUGGUG
rnacentral:lncRNA from 1 species